AGAGCGCAGGGUGGAUGCCUUGGCACUGAGAGCCGAUGAAGGACGUGAUAAGCUGCGAAAAGCUUCGGGGAGGAGCAAAUAUCCAUUGAUCCGGAGAUAUCCGAAUGGGGAAACCCACUUGAGCAAACCUCAAGUAUCCAUACGCCAAUCCAUAACGUAUGGAAGGGAACCGGGGGAACUGAAACAUCUAAGUACCCCGAGGAGAAGAAAGAAACCUCGAUUUCCAAAGUAGCGGCGAGCGAAAUGGAAAGAGCCCAAACCGUGGUGCGUGCACCGCGGGGUUGUGGACUGCAUAAGGUACUCGAAUCAAUAGCCGAACAGUUUUGGGAAAUCUGAUCAGAGAGGGUGAAAAUCCCGUAGGCGAAAUUGAUGAGAGGCUGGCAGGAUCCAGAGUACCACGAGACACGGGAAACCUUGUGGGAAGCAGGAGGGACCACCCUCCAAGGCUAAAUACUCCUCAGUGACCGAUAGCGCAUAGUACUGUGAAGGAAAGGUGAAAAGGACCCCGGGAGGGGAGUGAAAGAGAACCUGAAACCCUGUGUUUACAAGCUGUGGAAGUGCCUUAUGUGCACAACCGCGUACUUUUUGUAGAACGGUCCGGCGAGUUACGUUUACUGGCAAGGUUAAGCACUCAAGGUGCGGAGCCGAAGGGAAACCAAGUCUUAAGAGGGCGUAAAGUCAGUAAGAGUAGACCCGAAACCGGGUGAUCUACCCAUGUCCAGGCUGAAGCUGCCGUAAGAGGUAGUGGAGGGCCGAACGCACAUCCGUUGAAAAGGGUGGCGAUGAGGUGUGGGUAGGGGAGAAAUUCCAAUCGAACCCGGAGAUAGCUGGUUCUCCUCGAAAUAGCUUUAGGGCUAGCCUCGAUUUAGUCUUAUGGAGGUAGAGCACUGAAUUUCCGCGGGGGCGUCAAAGCUUACCAAAGAAUAUCAAACUCCGAAUGCCAUGUAGAUGAUGAUCGGGAGUCAGACUGCACGAGAUAAGUUGGGCAGUCAAAAGGGAAAGAGCCCAGACCUGCUGCUAAGGUCCCAAAGUACGUGUUAAGUGGAAAAGGAUGUGGGAUUUCGAAGACAACUAGGAUGUUGGCUCAGAAGCAGCCAUACAUUCAAAGAGUGCGUAAUAGCUCACUAGUCGAGAGGUCCUGCGCCGAAAAUGUCCGGGGCUGAAACACGACACCGAAGCACAGGAUACCGCAAGGUAUGGUAGAGGAGCAUUGCUGGCGCAACGAAGCAGUACCGGAAGGAGCUGUGGAGUGCCAGGAAGAGAGAAUGCCGGAAUGAGUAGCGAGAGAGAGGUGGGAAUCCUCUCGGCCGAAUAUCCAAGGUUUCCAGGGUAAAGCUGAUCUGCCCUGGGUAAGUCGGGGCCUAAGGAGAGGCAGAAAUGCGUAUCCGAUGGACAGCAGGUUGAGAUUCCUGCACUAUCUUAAAACAGAACUGUGGGGACAUUUGUGGAGAGCACAGGCGCGGAACGGAAAGCCGCGUGCAAGCGAAGGAGGAGUCACAUAGGAAAAACCGUGUGGCAAUCCAAAGGCGUGAUGCGGACCGAACUAAAGUAGGGAAGUGUGUGAGCCAUGAAUCAAGAAAAGCCGCUAUUGUUUUUAAGAUACCCGUACCGUAAACCGACACAGGUGGAUGAGGAGAGAAUCCUAAGGCCGGCGGAAGAAGCAUUGUUAAGGAACUCGGCAAAAUGACCCCGUAACUUCGGGAGAAGGGGUGCCAACGAGAGUUGGCCGCAGAGAAUAGGCUCAAGCAACUGUUUAGCAAAAACACAGGUCUAUGCAAAACCGUAAGGUGAGGUAUAUGGGCUGACGCCUGCCCGGUGCUGGAAGGUUAAGAGGAGAGGUUAGCGCAAGCGAAGCUUUGAAUUUAAGCCCCAGUAAACGGCGGCCGUAACUAUAACGGUCCUAAGGUAGCGAAAUUCCUUGUCGGGUAAGUUCCGACCCGCACGAAAGGCGUAAUGAUUUGAGCGCUGUCUCGACAAUGCAUCCGGUGAAAUUGAAGUACCAGUGAAGAUGCUGGUUACCCGCGCCAGGACGGAAAGACCCCAUGGAGCUUUACUCCAGUUUGGUACUGGGGUCCGGCAGUGCAUGUACAGGAUAGGUGGGAGGCUGUGAACCUGGAACGCCAGUUUCAGGGGAGCCAUUGUUGGGAUACCACCCUUGUGCUGCUGGGCUUCUAACCAGCGGCCUUUAUCAGGCCGGGGGACAAUGCCAGACGGGGAGUUUGACUGGGGCGGUCGCCUCCGAAAGGGUAUCGGAGGCGCUCAAAGGU
rnacentral:rRNA from 1 species